CUCCUUAGUUUAUAUCCCUCAGCAGGAGUCAGGCCAGUUGGACCCCGCAUCUUCUUCCUGUGUAUGGAGCAAUUAUUGGAACAGUCAUGGCCUGGACAAUCCUUUGUCAGUAACCAUCGGUGGUGGUUGGCAUCAGCGGGGAGAGCUGCUCACUGAUGUCUCAUCACAAACCAUCUUUCCACUGGCUUCCUGCAUUUUUCCAAAUAUCACUUUAAAAGCACACCAAAUUAGAGAAAAAUGCUUAUAAAGUGCUUGAAACUUGAUCUCAAAUGGAGGAAAUGAAUAGCAAGAUGGGAUACAUGUUGUAGCUUUGUGCAGAUUGGAAAGAUUGCGCUGAUUUCAGAAAUCUGCUCUUUUGAAGACCUGGAUCCUCUUUUAUCAAGAAGCUUGUCAGUGGGGAGUCCAUCAAAAUCCUAAAGGAGAACACAGGUAGCAACCUUUUCGACCUCAGCCGCAGCAACUUCUUCCUAGAAACAUCGCCAAAGUCACGGGAAGCCAGGG